CGCAAAAUUUAAGCUCUGGUAAUAGAUGUAUACACAGGAUGUUUAAUGUCACCUGGUUGCUUUUGGUUUGCACGACUACCUGACACUAUAUUGUUAUGUAACAUUACAACCCAAGUCAGAGUUCACCUGUUCUGUAAAGGGGUGAAAUUUUAAAGGUAUAGAAUAUUUAUCUAUAUUAAUUUUCGGGCAUUGGUUUUUUUCUCAUGGGAUGAAAACAUUUUUUGUUCUAAAA
rnacentral:lncRNA from 1 species